CACCUCCUCCCUUGCCCCCUCCUGGCAUUCGACCCUCCUCUCCUGUCACGGUUGCAGCCCUUUCUCACCCUCCUCCUGUUCUGCACCCUCCUCCCACAACCAUUGUCCCUGGCCCUCAUGCCCCGCUAAUGCCUCCAUCUCCACCAUCCCAAGUGAUUCCUGCUCCUGAACCCAAACGCCAUCCUUCAACUCUUCCUGUAAUCAGUGAUGCUAGGAGCGUUCUGCUGGAAGCAAUACGGAAAGGUAUUCAGCUACGCAAAGUUGAAGAGCAACGUGAACAAGAAGCUAAGCAUGAGCGCAUUGAAAAUGAUGUUGCUACUAUACUUUCUCGUCGCAUUGCUGUGGAAUACAGUGAUUCAGAAGAUGAUUCAGAAUUUGAUGAAGUGGAUUGGUUAGAGUAAAAUCAUUACAUUGCUGUACACUGCAAAAUCGAAUGCUAAUGUCCAUUGUGGUGCUUGUUCUUUGAAAGUUUGAUGGUCAUUUCUAGUGUUUUUUGUAUUCUUUUCUUUACAUAAUUAAUCCAUGUUUUUCUACUUUUCAGUUUACAAAAAGCUCCUAGUGCAUCUUUGAAACUAAAUGUUUUACAGUGGCUUUUCUUACACAUCUUUUUUUGAAAGAACAUACUUUGUUCCAAUAGACCACUAAGUAUUAAGCAUGGGCAGCUGUUGGUAGAGUAGCAGUUUCAAUUUUUUGGCAUAUCUUAACUGUGCACUUUGUGAAUUUUAAGUUAAUGAAGGCAACUGAGAUUGACAUUCCAAGGGCAGCUGUAUGUACUAAUGAGCCUUAUUCCACUUCUGAUAGUGUUUUAAAACAUUAAACCUAGCUAUCAAGAUAUCACUGCCUCGAUUACAUCUGUACACUAAAAGUACAUAUAGUUAGCAGCACUGAACACACCGAAAGGAAGAUGGAUCUUUGGGGGGUUUUAUUAUUGUUUUAUUGUUGUUUUUAAAUAAUUAUGGCCUUAUUUGAAUGUUUAGAGAUUCCCCUUCCCUUCUUCCCUCCCAGGUACAUAUUGUGUGGUACUAUUUUUGCCUGCGUAAUAGAAGUUUAAAUUUUUUUUCCUUGUGAAAUCUUUUGACUUAAACAUGCUGUGUAAGUUAUGUAACUGUUAAAAUAACAGUUUGAUUUAAUAAAUGGUUCAUUUUAAAUGUU